CCUACGGGAGGCAGCAGUGGGGAAUAUUGCACAAUGGGCGCAAGCCUGAUGCAGCCAUGCCGCGUGUAUGAAGAAGGCCUUCGGGUUGUAAAGUACUUUCAGCGGGGAGGAAGGCGAUAAGGUUAAUAACCUUGUCGAUUGACGUUACCCGCAGAAGAAGCACCGGCUAACUCCGUGCCAGCAGCCGCGGUAAUACGGAGGGUGCAAGCGUUAAUCGGAAUUACUGGGCGUAAAGCGCACGCAGGCGGUCUGUCAAGUCGGAUGUGAAAUCCCCGGGCUCAACCUGGGAACUGCAUUCGAAACUGGCAGGCUGGAGUCUUGUAGAGGGGGGUAGAAUUCCAGGUGUAGCGGUGAAAUGCGUAGAGAUCUGGAGGAAUACCGGUGGCGAAGGCGGCCCCCUGGACAAAGACUGACGCUCAGGUGCGAAAGCGUGGGGAGCAAACAGGAUUAGAUACCCCGGUAGUC
rnacentral:rRNA from 1 species